rnacentral:rRNA from 1 species
UACGUAGGUGGCAAGCGUUGUUCGGAAUUACUGGGCGUAAAGCGCACGUAGGCGGCUUUGUAAGUUAGAGGUGAAAGCCCGGGGCUCAACCCCGGAAUAGCCUUUAAGACUGCAUCGCUUGAACACGGGAGAGGUGAGUGGAAUUCCGAGUGUAGAGGUGAAAUUCGUAGAUAUUCGGAAGAACACCAGUGGCGAAGGCGGCUCACUGGACCGUUGUUGACGCUGAGGUGCGAAAGCGUGGGGAGCAAACAGG